UGGGGAAUUUUGCGCAAUGGGCGAAAGCCUGACGCAGCGACGCCGCGUGUGCGAUGAAGGCCUUUGGGUCGUAAAGCACUGUCAAGCGGGAAGAAAAGCCGCAGGUUAAUACCCUGUGGAAUUGACGGUACCGCUGGAGGAAGCACCGGCUAACUCUGUGCCAGCAGCCGCGGUAAUACAGAGGGUGCAAACGUUGCUCGGAAUUACUGGGCGUAAAGAGCGUGUAGGCGGCGUGUUAAGUCGUCUGUGAAAGCCCAUGGCUCAACCAUGGAAGUGCAGACGAUACUGGCUCGCUAGAGUCCCGGAGAGGGUGGUGGAAUUCCCAGUGUAGAGGUGAAAUUCGUAGAUAUUGGGAGGAACACCGGUGGCGAAGGCGACCACCUGGACGGGUACUGACGCUGAGACGCGAAAGCGUGGGGAGCAAACAGGAUUAGAUACCCCCGUAGUCC
rnacentral:rRNA from 1 species